AUUGAACGCUGGCGGCAGGCCUAACACAUGCAAGUCGAACGAGUGGCGGAGGGGUGAGUAAUGUCUGGGACACUCACUGAUGGAGGGGGAUGACUACUGGAAUCGGUCGCGGAUACCGCAUAACCUCGGAUGUGCCCAGAUGGGAUUAUCUAGUAGGUGGAGUAAAGGAUACCCUAGGCGACGAUCCCUACCUGGUCUGCGAGGAUGACCAGCAACACCGGAACUGAGACACGGGCCAGACUCCUACGGGAGGCAGCAGUGGGGAAUAUUGCACAAUGGGCGCAAGCCGGAUGCAGCCGUGCCGCGUGUAUGAAGAAGGCAUUCGGGUUGUAAAGUACUUUCAGCGGGGAGGCGUUACCCGCAGAAGAAGCACCGGCUAACUCCGUGCCAGCAGCCGCGGUAAUUC
rnacentral:rRNA from 1 species